rnacentral:rRNA from 1 species
GAUCAUGGCUCAGGAUGAACGCUAGCUACAGGCUUAACACAUGCAAGUCGAGGGGCAGCAUUGGAGUAGCAAUACUCAGAUGGCGACCGGCGCACGGGUGAGUAACACGUAUCCAACCUGCCGCUUACUCGGGGAUAGCCUUUCGAAAGAAAGAUUAAUACCCGAUGGUAUAAAGAGUUCGCAUGUUCUCUUUAUUAAAGAAUUUCGGUAAGCGAUGGGGAUGCGUUCCAUUAGAUUGUUGGCGGGGUAACGGCCCACCAAGUCUACGAUGGAUAGGGGUUCUGAGAGGAAGGUCCCCCACAUUGGAACUGAGACACGGUCCAAACUCCUACGGGAGGCAGCAGUGAGGAAUAUUGGUCAAUGGACGAGAGUCUGAACCAGCCAAGUAGCGUGAAGGAUGACUGCCCUAUGGGUUGUAAACUUCUUUUAUAAGGGAAUAAAGUGAGGGACGUGUCCCUUUUUGUAUGUACCUUAUGAAUAAGGAUCGGCUAACUCCGUGCCAGCAGCCGC